AGCAUGAGCGACACUAAUAAGCAAAAUAAGGUAAUAUUAAGAAUUUAAGAUGACAUCUUCUAUGGUCUCUUCCAUGGUUCUCUUUCUCCUUAUUCUUCUUGUGUUUCCGCAUAUGGAUAAAGCCCUUGGCGCACAAGAGGAAGUCAAGAAACAAAGUGGAGAAGAUACUUACCAUCCUGAUGGUUUUCCGAGAUGUUCAAGCCCCAUUUGUCAUGGUCAUAUCCCACAUUUCCAUUUCCAUACACCUUCUCCUCCUCCCCACAGGAAAUUUAAAGGCACACACGGAUGACGGACCUGGUCAUUGACCUCAGUCUAGCUUCGAAUAUGUGUGUGGAUUUCUUACAUUGUGGUUUGCUUUGUAGUUUUUGUCCUUGUUUAUCUAUGCAUGUGUUUGUCAUAUUUUACAGUUUUAUCGAACCGCGCCGCUAUAAUAAAUAAAAUUUGUAUUUCCUUUUGUGUUCAA